rfam:Stegodyphus mimosarum contig120121, whole genome shotgun sequence.
GCCUUCGUGGUGUAGUGGUCAUCAGGCUCCACGCGUAACCGAGAGGUCCGUGGUUCGAUUCCCGGCGAAGGCG